rnacentral:piRNA from 1 species
UAGACCCAGUAUGGCCCAUACAUUCAGCU